CCUACGGGUGGCAGCAGUGAGGAAUAUUGGUCAAUGGGCGCGAGCCUGAACCAGCCAAGUAGCGUGAAGGAUGACUGCCCUACGGGUUGUAAACUUCUUUUAUAUGGGAAUAAAAUGUUCCACGUGUGGCUUUUUGUAUGUACUUUAUGAAUAAGGAUCGGCUAACUCCGUGCCAGCAGCCGCGGUAAUACGGAGGAUCCGAGCGUUAUCCGGAUUUAUUGGGUUUAAAGGGAGCGUAGGUGGGUUGUUAAGUCAGUUGUGAAAGUUUGCGGCUCAACCAUAAAAUUGCAAUUGAUACUGGCAGUCUUGAGUACAGUAGAGGUAGGCGGAAUUCGUGGUGUAGCGGUGAAAUGCUUAGAUAUCACGAAGAACUCCGAUUGCGAAGGCAGCUCACUAAACUGCCACUGACACUGAGGCUCGAAAGUGUGGGUAUCAAACAGGAUUAGAUACCCUUGUAGUC
rnacentral:rRNA from 1 species